AUUUACUGUUAAUGCCGAGUUGCUUUAUUCUAAGUGCAAAGGUGAAAUGAUUUCCACUCCUGACAGCUCUGGAAGAAUAACGGGAGCAUGGAGAAACACUGUCUUUGCCGAUGCCCCAACUCAGUCUUCUCCUCUGUACAGAUCCAUCAAGUUCCAGAUUUCUCUUCUCAUAAACUCCACCCCAUCUGAAGUCCCUUUUCCCUUGUGCCCCGCGAUGCACCAACUCUACCUGGAAAAGGAUAGAGUGCUAAGUUCCUGCUCCCUCCUUGCAUCUCGCAUAUUCCAAGAUUGCAGGUGUGUCCAGUUUAAUAAAAAGGGAAAACGUCAUCAGGUGGACACAUCCAAUCCUUGUCAUUCAUAACCCCAACCUUCAGAUCCUUUCUAC
rnacentral:lncRNA from 1 species